rnacentral:lncRNA from 1 species
UUUUUUUUUUUUCCUUUUUUUUCAUUACGUAUUUUUUUUCAAUUAUAUUUCCAAUGCUGUCCCAAAAGUCCCCCCCACUCCCCUACCCACCCAUUCCCAUUUUUUGGCCCUGGCAUUCUCCUGUACUGGGGCAUAUAACGUUUGCCUGACCAAUGGGCCUCUCUUUCCAGUGAUGGCCAACUAGGUCAUCUUUUGAUACAUAUGCAGCUAGAGUCAAGAGCUCCAGGGUACUGGUUAGUUCAUAAUGUUGUUCCUCCAAUAGGGUUGCAGAUCUCUUUAGCUCCUUGGAUACUUUCUCUAGCUCCUCCAUUGGGGGCCCUGUGAUCCAUCCAAUAGUUGACAGUGAGCAUCCACUUCUGUGUUUGCUAGGCCCCGGCCUAGUCUCACAAGGGACAGCUAUAUCACCGUCCUUGCAACAAAGGCUUGCUAGUGUAUGCAAUGGUGUCAUCGCUUGGAGGCUAAUUAUGGGAAUGUACUCACUGAUAAGUGGAUAUUAACCCAGAAACGUAGUAUAGCGAGAUAUAAGGUACAAUAUGUAAAACAUAUGAAACUGAAGAAGAACGAAGACCAAAGUGUGGACACUUUGCUCAUUCUUAGAAUUGGAAACAAUCACCCAUGGAAGGAGUUACAGAGACAAAGUUUGGAGCUGAGACAAAAGGAUGGUCCAUCUAGAGACUGCCAUAUCCAGGGAUCACCAUUGCAUUUCUGAGCUAUGUGGCUUGUGUGGUAGUUCCACAUUGAUCCUCUCUUCCUUGGGACUCGCUGCUAUUUCCUUCCCGAUCUUCACAUUGUGUAGUGUUGUUGAACUGCCAUGGGCCUUGGGGCUUUUGUAGUUAUGCUUUUCAUGUCUUCCAAAGUCUAUUGCUUCCCACUGGUUGGAUUUUCUUGUCUUCAGUGACCUGCCACAUCAGAUGUCUAGCAAGGGAAAUGGAAGCACAUGGGUCAGUGCAGACCCUUUCAUCAGCCAUUUUCAUGGUAGAAUCUGUAAAUAUUCUUUGUCGGUUACCAGUCUAGAUAUGGAUAUGGAUAUGGAUAUGGCUAUGGAUAUGGAUAUGGAUAUAGAUAUAGAUAUAGAUAGAUAGAUAUAGAUAGACACAUACACAAUGGCCUGCACUGUUUACAUUCCAUACACAUUAUGACUCUCUGAAGAUUGCAGGCACUUUUCCUUAUUGCCCUUUUAGCUGUCAUGUGGUCUGAAUGAUUUUACUGGACACUACUGACGUAGAAAAUAGAUGCAGGCAAAUUACAAUGUGUACCCAUUUCCAACUGUCAAGAGAAAACUGAAGGAAAAGUAGAAGCACUUUGAUUUGGCAAGUCAUUUUUGCCAGAUUAGUUAUAUGUAAAUAGUUUUUACCCAGUGAAACUUUCUGUGAGGUUUUGCAGUAUUUACAACAGCUGACUCAUAAAAGAAACACUGCUGAAGUGAAUAGCCAAGCAUUUCCCAAAUGAUAAGAUUCAUUCUGAGCUGGGGAGAGACGGAGCAUGUGUGGGUUUUUUUUCUGAGUCGGUAGCAAUGAUAUGUGUGAUUCAGAAGGACUUGGCAUUCAGAGGAAUGUAGUGUGUGUUUAUGAGGAAGCUUAGCAAGCUUUAAUUUUGCUCACCUUGCCGUUUCUCUUCCUGACUAGAUUUGCUGAUUUCGACGAGGGUGUUCUUCUUAAUUGUAUGUGGACUCUGUAAUCUCUAGUCCAGUCACAGAGCAUGCUUACAUAAUAUAUUCCUCAGGCAAUUUCAUAAUGGUGCAAUGGAAGCCAGCCAAGUGUACUUUGACACAGAGAGGCAAGACUUUUAAUUUUUUAUCCAACAUAGUUAGCAUUUAACCCUUCUAGACAUUCUCCUAGGAUUAUUGAUCAGGAGAAGAAAUGGAAGACCUGAGACAGGUGGGAAUUUCUAGGAACUCUGUGAGACGUUUACAACAGAUGGCCCCGACUCUUAUUCUUGCUUCCUUUUUAAGGACUUAGAGAACAAAAGGAAAGCCAUGUUUUAAAAAGGAACCACGCCCCAGACCUCGGAGUUUGCCUGCCUUGCAACAGACUUGGAGCCCAUUAGAUUGGCUCUGUGGAACCUUUCCUCCCUCCAUUCCACCUCCUUCCACCCCACCCUCCCAUUCUUCCUCUUUUCCUCUUCUAUCUCCUCUCUUGUCUUCUUCCUUAUUUGAAGAAAAGCAGGCUGGUGUUCUCUGGCUAUCUACUGUUGUGGUAGUCUAGUACCUAGAGGUGGUUCUCAGCCUUCCUAGUGCUAUGACCCUUUAUAAUUUUUCUUUUUUUGUCUUCUACUUAUUUUUUAAAUUUUUUACUUAAUUUUUUUACACCACGGAUUUUUAUCCCCCUCCCUUUCAACCCUCUGACUGUUCCACAUCUCGUACCUUCCCCCAAAGCCCCACUAGACUUCCCCACUCCCUAAGGUCUCCAGUCUCUUGAGGGUUAGGGGCAUCUUCUCUGACUGAACCCAGGCCCAGCAGUCCUCUGCUGUAUAUGUGUUGGGGGCCUCAUAUCAGCUGGUGUCUGCUGCCUGGUUGGUGAUCCAGUGUCUGAGAGAUCUUGGAGGUCCAGGUUAAUUGAGAUUGCUGGUCCUCCUACAGGGUUGCCCUCUUCCUCAGCUUCUUAUAGCUUUUUCCUAAUUCAACAAAGGGGGCACCAACUUCUAUCCAUUGGUUGGGUAUAAAUAUCUGCAUCUGACUCAGCUGCCUGUUGGGUCUUUCAGAGAGCUGUCAUGUUAGGUCCCUUUAAUAAGGUUCUUUAUGUAGUGGUGACCCCUGUAACCAUAAAAUUAUUUUGUUCCUACUUUGUAACUGUAAUUUUGCUACAGUUAUGAAUCAUAAUGCAAAUAUCUGCUAUGUAGGAUGUCUAGUAAGCAACCCUUGUGAAAGGGUAGUUUGACCCACCCACAGGGAUGGGGACUCACAAGUUAAGAACACUGAUCUAGAUGAUGACACUGUAGAAGUAAAGAAGUCUGCCUAGUUAAGCAAGCCCACAGAUCAAGUUUCACCAAGCAGCUGAGCUGCAGGUACCAGGGCACCUUUUCCUUGUGGAGUGGUGUAGGUCGAGCCUCUGGCUUUGGUUUUAAGUCAUCCUUCUCUUUAUGCCUCAUUGGGAGCAUGCUGUAUACUGUGGAGCACAGGCAGGGCCAGUUAAUACGAUUGGAAAUGAUGUGGACUGCAACAGGGCUAGUUUUCUUUCAAGCAUGCAGUGCAGUGCAUUAUCAAAAUGUGAUUGUAAACUGGAUAAUGGAUGUAAACUGUGUACACAGAACAGGUCAAAUGCAUCUAAAAAUGUGUUUCUCCCCCAAACCUAAUUUAAAAUAGCAAGAAAACUUGAUUUGGACAGCUUACACCUUGUUUACGGGGAGCUGAGGAGGCUAGUCUUAAGGCUAUCUGAUGAGAUUUUUAUUGAUCAAGUGGCAUGUCUUUCAGUAUUCAAGGUGUUAUAGCUGAAGCCCAUUGCCCUUCCACUCAACUUGUCUACACAUGGGGGCUGAUUGCACAGUGGUUUCAUGGUUAAAAGGAUUCUUUGGACUAUGGAUAUCACUGUUAAAAAGAACCCUUAGACCAUUGAAUUAGUGUCCCCAUUUUAUUCACUAUUUUAUUAUACUGUUUUCUAUUGUCGUGUCACAUUUUCUCUACAAAUAUAGCACUGAACUUAAGCACAGAUUUUAUGUGAAAGAAUAGAAUCUUUAUCAAGUUAGGGCAAUUAAUCCAAUCCAAAUAGGUCCAAUCUCUAUCCUAAGUUUUUGUGAGGUUUAGUUAGCAUAUCCCAAUAUUUGAGCGCAAUGCUUGGAACACAUAAAAAUUUCAGUAAACAUUACUUUUGUUUAUUAUCAAACUGCAGACAUACAUGAUAGAGAUAUUUUUGCCAUGAGAAAACUCAACAGACCAUGUAAAAUUUGCAAGCCCCCCACUUUUUUUCCGGUAGCAUGUAGGAGCUGAGUUAAUCAGGUUCCCACACAUGUUCCAAGUAUGUGUCUACUUGUACUGUGUCUACUGGGUCUUGUGUAUGUUACAGUAUAUUUUUCAUUAGUUUAUCUCAUAUUCUAAUUUCUUGAUUCACUAUUGUCUCAUUUCAUUUUUCUGAAGAUGGCAGGAGUUUCUAUUGGUAUCUCUCUAAAACUCGUUCAUCUUCAUCCCGUUUUUUAAACCCUUAAGUAGUAUAGUUGAAAAUAAACUUAUAGAUUUAUACUACACAGCAGUUUUGAAACAAAGUGAAGCAAAGUGGUUUAAAGUGUGCUUACAAGAGUCAAAGUUCCGAGGUCCACAGUACAGCUCUACUCUCUUAGCUGUGAGAACUUGGGAAAGUUACUCAUUUGUUCUGCUGUGUUUGAUCAUCUGACAAAACAAAAAGAUAAUGAUAUUAUUAAGGGAUGUAUUAAAAAUUUUAAUAGCUAAUAUAUGUGCUAUAGUAGAAUGGUAUAAAAAGCAGUAUAAAGUAAACAUAGGCGGUAUACCUAUCUGAGAGUCUUUUAAAAAUACAUACAAUUAAUGUUUGGAGCAUUUCAUACUGGGUAUCUUGAUCAUAUUCAUCUUCCACUCCUUUCAACUCUAUCCAGGUCGAGCCUCCCUUUCUGUCUGUUUUCUUUCUCCUCCUAUUUAUUUAUUUAUUUAUUUAUUUAUUUGAAGAGAUCAUCUUGCAGCAGAUGUCUUGGUCCUCUGUUUCUUACCAUCUUUCUGCCUCCUCGACAAAGGUGUUCCCUGAGUCUCCGUUGAAGGUCUUGUGUUGUAGAUGUUUCACUUGAAGAUGGGCAUCCUGCAGUCUUUGCAUUUUGGCCAGGUGUGACUUCUGUAAGGAUCUCUGUCUACUGCAAAAAAGAUUUACUGAUGAGGGGUGAGAACCAAACUUUCCUGUGCAUAUAAGAAUUCAUAGAAUGCACUUAGAAAUUAUAUUGGUUGGAAAAGUAACAGUAAUGGGUUUUCUAAGUUCCAAGACCUUACUGGCCAUGGGUAGUUAACUAAGUCUAUGCCAGGCAUGCAUUUUCUCCUAUUGAGUGGUUCUUGAGUUCAAUUACAUGGUUGUUGGUUACCCCAUGAUAUAAGUGCUACACUGUUACCUACUCAAAUAUUUUACCAUGCCGUUUAUUGUUGUGGCUCAUUGGCAUUAUACCUGAAUAGGACUAUUGAUUUUUUUUAUUUAUUAGCAGCUUCCAUGGUUUCUUCUGAGACUUUCAGAGAGCUCUUCCUCAGUGAGGAGACUUCCAGGUCAGAUCCAGCUCAACUCCUCCAAAACCUGUGUCCUAAGUGUGUGGUGUCUUCAGGAAUAAGUUAUUACCUUCUUUUUCUGGCAGGGCGAUGACAAUAAUCUAUGCCCUUUUGGGGAUCAUGAGAGUCCCCUAACUAACAACUAGAAGGGAGGUUUCCUAUGCAAUGAGUGUUCAGGCCCAAAAUAGAAAGAAAUUAGGGAAGGGGAAAGAGCAUGAUGGGAAGGACUUAAAGAAGCUUUUAUAUCCAAAGGCAUAUUCCAUAGCCUGAGAAGGGUGUAGUUAUAUAGACGUGUAUUUGAAAAUUGAUUCUCCUAUGCUUAUAAAUCUCUGAAUUGUACUUCAGGAUUAAAAACUG